GCCAGUGUGGUGUAGUGGUUUGAAUGCUGGACUAUGACACUGGAGACCUGGGUUCAAAACCUUGCUCAGCCA